UGAUAGUUAAUUGCAAACACUUGGACUUGAUCUUAAGAUUAUAAGACUCCUUGAACUUGAACUUGAAAUCGGAAGUAAAAGUAAGCAUAGAAGAGUAGAGAAUAGGAGAAGUGAAGUUCGUGGACGAGUUAGAAGAAGAUAAUGGAAAAAGAGAGUGUAAAAGCAGAAGCAGUCCUCAAUUGCAUCGACCUCUCCAAUCCUGAUAUCAACAAAUUGCUUCAUUUGCUCAAACAUUCAUGCACCGAUUCUGGGUUUUUCUACCUUAUCAAUCACGGUAUAAGCCACGAGUUUAUGGACGAGGUUUUUUCUCAAAGCAACAAGUUUUUCAACCUUCCGCUAAACGAAAAGAUGAAGCUUCUCCGGAACGAUUAUCAUAGGGGAUAUACCCCUCUUCUCGAUGAAAUCCUUGAUCCUCAAAACCAAUUACACGGUGAUUACAAAGAAGGGUAUUAUAUUGGAGUUGAAGACAAUGAUCCACUAUCAAACAAACCUUUUCAUGGCCCAAACAUUUGGCCUGCUUCAGAUGUUCUGCCUGGAUGGAGGGAGACUAUGGAAAAAUUCCAAUGCCAGGCAUUAGAAGUGGGAAAAGCAGUUGCAAAGAUAAUAGCCCUUGCACUUGAUUUGGAUGCUAAUUUUUUUGAUAAACCAGAAACCUUGGGAGAACCCAUUGCGAUUAUGCGCUUACUACACUAUCAAGAUAAACUCUCGGAUCCCUCACAAGGGUUAUAUGCAGCUGGAGCUCAUACUGACUAUGGUCUGAUUACUCUGUUGGCAACAGAUGAUGUCCAGGGUCUUCAAAUAUGCAAGAAUAAGGAUGCUAAACCUCGGAUAUGGGAGGAUGUGACACCAAUGAAGGGAGCAUUUAUAGUUAAUCUUGGAGACAUGCUGGAGCGCUGGAGCAACUGUACUUUCAAGUCUACAUUGCACAGAGUUAUUGGAAAUGGUCAAGAGAGAUAUUCUAUUGCAUACUUCUUGGAGCCUGGUCACGACUGUCUAGUGGAGUGCUUGCCAACCUGCAAAUCAGAUGCAAAUCCUCCAAAAUUUCCUCCUAUCUAUUACCGGGACUAUCUGAGUCAACGCUACAAGGAAACACAUGCUAAUCUGCUUGUAUACAGCAAACAACAAUCUUGAGCACUUACUCAAUUGGAGCUGUGCAGCUUGGAGGUUUUUCUUAACUCUACUUUUAUAAUAAGUGUUGGAAUGGAAUGCAUGCAUGCCUGAAGGUCCAUCAUGGCCAUGUACUUUUGUAAGGGAACUUCAUAUUGGCGGAUAUUGUUCAUAAGUUUCUUCUCCUGUAGAAAAUAAAUAAUGUAUUAGUGAGAACCAAAUAAAGAAAAGGACAUGAAAACAACAUUGAUCCUUAUAGAUUGAUUUAUAGAUGAAAUGGAAAGAAAUUAACCUGAAGUUGCUGGGUGCUACAAGAGGGAGGUAAGAGACCACGCAAAUAGUGUGCAUCUCUCUCUUUCUCA